GAUGAACGCUGGCGGCGUGCUUAACACAUGCAAGUCGAACGGUGAAGGCGGAGCUUGCUCUGCUGGAUCAGUGGCGAACGGGUGAGUAACACGUGAGCAAUCUGCCCCUGACUCUGGGAUAAGCGCUGGAAACGGCGUCUAAUACUGGAUACGAGCUGCGAAGGCAUCUUCAGCAGCUGGAAAGAAUAUCGGUCAGGGAUGAGCUCGCGGCCUAUCAGCUUGUUGGUGAGGUAAUGGCUCACCAAGGCGUCGACGGGUAGCCGGCCUGAGAGGGUGACCGGCCACACUGGGACUGAGGCACGGCCCAGACUCCUACGUGAGGCAGCAGUGGGGAAUAUUGCACGAUGGGCGGAAUCCUGAUGCAGCAACGCCGCGUGAGGGACGACGGCCUUCGGGUUGUAAACCUCUUUUAGCAGGGAAGAAGCGAAAGUGACGGUACCUGCAGAAAAAGCGCCGGCUAACUACGUG
rnacentral:rRNA from 1 species